rnacentral:rRNA from 1 species
UACGGGGGGGGCAAGCGUUGUUCGGAAUUACUGGGCGUAAAGGGCCAGUAGGCGGCCAACUAAGUCGGAUGUGAAAUCCCCAGGCUUAACCUGGGAACUGCAUCCGAUACUGGAUGGCUUGAAUUCGGGAGAGGGAUGCAGAAUUCCAGGUGUAGCGGUGAAAUGCGCAGAUAUCGGGAGGAACACCUAUGGCGAAGGCAGCUCGCUGGGACGUUACUGACGCUGAGACGCGAAAGCGUGGGGAGCAAACAGG